rnacentral:rRNA from 1 species
GAUGAACGCUAGCUACAGGCUUAACACAUGCAAGUCGAGGGGAAACGCCAUCGAAAGCUUGCUUUUGAUGGGCGUCGACCGGCGCACGGGUGAGUAACGCGUAUCCCACCUGCUCAUCACUUGGGAAUAACCUUGCGAAAGUAAGACUAAUACCCAAUGAUAUCCCACGAAGGCAUCGGAAUGGGAUUACAGAUUUAUCGGUGAUGGAUGGGGAUGCGUCUGAUUAGCUUGUUGGCGAGGUAACGGCCCACCAAGGCAACGUUCAGUAGGGGUUCUGAGGGGAAGCUCCACCGGAAUGGAACUGAGGCACGGUCCAAACUCGUACGGGAGGCAGGGGUGAAGAAGAUUGGGGAAUGGAGCCGAGCCCAAACCUACCAAGUGGGGGGCAGGAAGACGGGCGUUGGGGUUGUAAACUGCUUUUAUAAGAAAGUAAAGUGGGUCACGUGUGACUUUUUGCAGGUACCUAAUGAAUAAGGACCGGCUAAUUCCGUG